AGGGCUAUUAAACAUUCAGGAGUGUGUUUCCUUUCCUCUUGUUUGUCACAGAGAACUUCAAGGGGUCUCGAGGUCCCCUUCAUGCAGACCAUGAUGUAGAAACUACACCAGUAAAAUUCCCAAUUCCCAACAAGACAAAAAGCAGCAAGAAAAUCUCCAACAGUAGCUCUUCAGCUCCAGUGGCAGCUGUCAUUGCAGGUCAUAGCAGGGUCUGGUGGGAGAUAAUAUCCAAGAGCUCAAGCAAGUCUCAGGAGUACUGAUAUCACAGUUCUGCUGAUUUUGUUACUGAUUUGCUGCUUGACCUUAGAUAUGUGAAGAGUGGAGAAUGGUGCUAAGCUGUAAAUCAGCUCUGUCCUGGAAUGGAUCCGUG
rnacentral:lncRNA from 1 species